AUCCCACUAUUGAAGCAUAUGGGAUUCUACUUAUAUGCUCUUUUUCUUAAGGAGUUGUCGGAUAAUCUUUCUUAGAGAGAAUAAUUCUAUGAUCUAUCAGUACGAUAUCUAUAUACGUGAAUAGAGCAAUCCAAGCAGCCUCUUGGAUCUAUUCCCAUAGAUCUAUAUUUUCAGGAUAAUGGAUGCUUUUUCUAAAUCCUUCAUGAAGAAUUGUGAUGAUAGCCACAGUCUUAUACUGUAUAAAAUAGGAAUGUGAUUUUUCAUUAGCAGUAUGUUAUCCACAUAC
rnacentral:lncRNA from 1 species